rnacentral:rRNA from 1 species
ACUCCUACGGGAGGCAGCAGUGGGGAAUAUUGCACAAUGGGCGCAAGCCUGAUGCAGCCAUGCCGCGUGUAUGAAGAAGGCCUUCGGGUUGUAAAGUACUUUCAGCAGUGAGGAAGGUGGUAGUGUUAAUAGCACUAUCAUUUGACGUUAGCUGCAGAAGAAGCACCGGCUAACUCCGUGCCAGCAGCCGCGGUAAUACGGAGGGUGCGAGCGUUAAUCGGAAUUACUGGGCGUAAAGCGCAUGCAGGUGGUUUGUUAAGUCAGAUGUGAAAGCCCGGGGCUCAACCUCGGAAUUGCAUUUGAAACUGGCAGACUAGAGUACUGUAGAGGGGGGUAGAAUUUCAGGUGUAGCGGUGAAAUGCGUAGAGAUCUGAAGGAAUACCGGUGGCGAAGGCGGCCCCCUGGACAGAUACUGACACUCAGAUGCGAAAGCGUGGGGAGCAAACAGGAUUAGAUACCCUGUAGCACAGAG